ensembl:lincRNA
CUGGAUGACUAAAUGCACCCCUUACCUCUGUUGCUGUUACCUCCACUGAUAAAGACAGGUGAUUCUGGGUUGAGUUUUAUGGGUGGUCUAAAGGCAUGCGUCUUCACAAGCACUGGGUACUGGAACAGAUAAUCGACUGCUGUGACAGAGCUAGCCAAAGGAUGAUUUCCCUUCCACAAUGUGAAAUUGUUUCUAGGAAGGAGCUGUCCAGCAAGGGACUGACUAUCCCAGGAGCCUUGCAUCUAGGUGAGACUGUAUCCUAGUUCUUGCCACUGCUGAAACACAGUGCUACUCUUAAAGCCACUUGUUAAAGAUGACAGAGCCACUGUCAGCCUGGUCCUCUGAGUGCCUACAUGGACCAGGGGCAUUAAGAAAAGAAUUUUGC